rnacentral:lncRNA from 1 species
GGUGGUGAGGUCAUGGCAAAGGUAUCCUAUACUACUAGGAGAAUCAUAGCAUAGUAUAGAUACAAUAAUAAUCCUAAUAAUGCAACUAAUAAAAUGUAGUGCAUAAUAAAGUAAUAGGUGAAUGAUCAAAGUGAACUUGCCUUGAUAAUAGUUGGUAUUCAAACACUCUUCGCAAUCACAUAGUUCGCUCUCCGAGAAAACUAAACAAUACAAACAAUGCAUACAUAAACACACCGUACAAACAAAAGCAUAUGUAUGCCAUGAUGCAAUGCAAAACAUGUGACAUGAGUGGGUUGGUUUUAUUCGGGUGAUCUACUGGUCCAAAGCAUUAACAAGUAAGCACAAGUAAUUAGGGUUUUAAACAAAUAGUAAAGGAUAGGGUUUAAACCCUAAAAUGAGGUUUUAUUUGCAUCAGUCAGAUAAAUUAAUUCAAAAAAAAAUUAUUUCUCUGUCCCAAUGGACAGAGGACAAUAAAAAAAAAUUUUGGGCAC